GGAAAACUUACCAGGUCCAGACAUAAUAAGGAUUGACAGAUUGAUAGCUCUUUCUUGAUUUUAUGGGUGGUGGUGCAUGGCCGUUCUUAGUUGGUGGGGUGACUUGUCUGCUCAAUUGCGAUAACGAACGAGACCGCAGCCUGCUAAAUAGGGAUAUGUAUCUCCGGAUAUAUAGUUCGACUUCUUAGAGGGACUUUUUGCAAAAAGCAAGAGGAAGUUUGCGGCAAUAA
rnacentral:rRNA from 1 species